CAAUAGCGUAUAUUAAAGCUGUUGCGGUUAAAAAGCUCGUAGUUGGAUUUCUGUCAAGGACAACUGGUCCGCCCUCCGGGUGAGCACAUAGUUUGGUCUUGACAUCUUGCUGGAAGCUGUUGCUGCACUUGGCUGUGUGGCGCAGUGUUCAGCACUUUCACUUUGAGGAAAUUGGAGUGUUUCAAGCAGGCACAUGCCUUUGGACACAGUAGCAUGGAAUAAUUAGAUUGGGCUUUUGCUCCAAUUUGUCGGUUUCUGGAGUUGAGGUGAGUAUUAAUGGGGAUUGUUGGGGGCAUCCGAAUUUAGCCGUCAGAGGUGAAAUUCUUGGAUCUGCUAAAGACGGACAACUGCGAAAGCAUUUGCCAAGGAUGUUUUCAUUGA
rnacentral:rRNA from 1 species